GUAGGGAAUAUUGGGCAAUGGAUGCAAGUCUGACCCAGCCAUCCCGCGUGCCGGAAGAAGGCCCUCAGGGUUGUAAACGGCUUUUGACGGUGAAGAAUCGACAGGAUGCGUCCUGUUUUGACGGUAGCCGUUGAAUAAGCACCGGCUAACUCCGUGCCAGCAGCAGCGGUAAUACGGAGGGGGCGAGAGUUGUCCGGAUUUAUUGGGUUUAAAGGGUGCGUAGGCUGGAAGGUCAGUCAGCGGUGAAAAGCUGUCGCUUAACGAUAGUCUUGCCGCAGAUACUUCCUUUCUUGGAUGAGGAGGAGGCCACUGGAACGGAUGGUGUAGCGGUGAAAUGCAUAGAUAUCAUCCAGAACACCGAUUGCGAAGGCAGGUGGCUGUACCUUAAUCGACGCUGAUGCACGAAAGCAUGGGGAGCAAACAGGAUUAGAAACCCUAGUAGUCC
rnacentral:rRNA from 1 species